rnacentral:lncRNA from 1 species
AGGAAGGGAUGAUCCUUUAGGCUGGUGCUGAUGCGACGAAGGCGACAGCGAUGCACUUUCACCCACAUGAAGCAACAGCCGACGACACAGGGAUGGUACUGCUGCAGUGAAGGGAGGAAAAGUGCUGUCCCAAAACAAGUCUGGAAGGCUGGAGGAAUGGUGUCGCCCCAAAAGCAAUUCAGGAGUCUUAUUGGAUCUGUAUCCAGUUUGGUUGACUGUGAAACGUUUAGCACUUUGCUAGUUAUCGGUCAUGGAAUAAGUAGGCUUGUUUUCUUC